rnacentral:piRNA from 1 species
UCCUUUUGGUUCAACAUGAGC